rnacentral:rRNA from 1 species
UACGGAGGGUGCGAGCGUUGUCCGGAAUCACUGGGCGUAAAGGGCGCGUAGGUGGCCCGUUAAGUGGCUGGUGAAAUCCCGCGGCUCAACUGCGGGGCUGCCGGUCAUACUGGCGAGCUAGAGCACGGUAGGGGCAGAUGGAAUUCCCCGGUGUAGCGGUGGAAUGCGUAGAGAUCGGGAAGAAUACCAGUGGCGAAGGCGUUCUGCUGGGCCGUUGCUGACACUGAGGCGCGACAGCGUGGGAGCAAACAGG